rnacentral:rRNA from 1 species
UACGUAGGGUGCAAGCGUUAAUCGGAAUUACUGGGCGUAAAGCGUGCGCAGGCGGUUUUGUAAGCCAGAUGUGAAAUCCCCGAGCUUAACUUGGGAACUGCAUUUGGGACUGCAAGGCUAGAGUACGGCAGAGGGGGGUAGAAUUCCUGGUGUAGCAGUGAAAUGCGUAGAUAUCAGGAGGAAUACCGAUGGCGAAGGCAGCCCCCUGGGUCGAUACUGACGCUCAUGCACGAAAGCGUGGGGAGCAAACAGG